rnacentral:snRNA from 1 species
GUGCUCGCUUCUGCAGCACAUAUACUAAAAUUGGAACGAUACAGAGAAGAUUAGCAUGGCCCCCGUGCAAGGAUGACAUGCAAAUUUGUGAAGCGUUCCAUGUAUUU